CCUGCUUGAUCUAUCGUUGUGUUGCCAUAGGUCCCCCUAAGGUGAUAAGUUACGUGUAGUUAUCUUGCUGUUACAUAGCAUGCUCAGCUCUAAUUGGUGUACUAUGGUCGCUUAUUUCGUGUAAGUGGGUCCUAGUGGUGGCCCUGGCGACACAGGUUUGUACCACACUACUCGCUAAUGUGUCCCUAGUCCAGGGCAUUGUGGCUGGGUGUGUU